rnacentral:rRNA from 1 species
CCUACGGGUGGGCAGCAGUGGGGAAUAUUGCACAAUGGGGGAAACCCUGAUGCAGCGACGCCGCGUGAGUGAAGAAGUAUUUCGGUAUGUAAAGCUCUAUCAGCAGGGAAGAAAUAGCGACCUUUGGGUCGCCAGACGGUACCUGGUUAAGAAGCCCCGGCUAACUACGUGCCAGCAGCCGCGGUAAUACGUAGGGGGCAAGCGUUAUCCGGAUUUACUGGGUGUAAAGGGAGCGUAGACGGCAGCGCAAGUCUGCAGUGAAAUGCCGGGGCUUAACCCCCGACCUGCUUUGGAAACUGUGCAAGUAGAGUGCAGGAGGGGGAAGUGGAAGUCCCAGUGUAGCGGUGAAAUGCGG